GUCACUAGUAUAUGAUGAUUUUUGGUACUAUUUAGAAAGUUGAAAAGUUAAAUCGAAACUUCCUUUGAAUAUGUCCAGCUUCAGAGAUCAGUUUAUGUUACACUGAUGACUCGAUACUCGACACUUCCCUAUCAGAGCAUUCAGUGAGAGAACUGGGUUUCAUAAAGAAGUCAGUCAACAGAUUAAGAAGUGAUUAUCAUCGACAUCAUUCUUUUAAAAAAACUACGAAAAGAAGCCAGCACUAUGACACUUCAAGAAACGAUAGUAAGCGUCAUAAGAUAUUGACAUAGUGAGCCCGCCAAUAAUAUCGCUCGGUUUUGAAAAAGAAAUACUUAGAUGAGGCUCACAGAGCAAAUAAUAAAUUGAGAACAAUUACGACAAAACCUCAGUGCCGGACAGAUCAAAAGUACACGGCAAGUAGACAACCAAAAGAUACCAGUGCCCAAAAAAGUUUCAGGACCUCAAUAAUCGUCAAAAUUGGUGAUUUGAGUUUAGUCGAUCCAAUAGAAAGCGUGCUCUUUUGGAGAAAUCUUGGACUGUAUGUGUCAAUUGUGAUAUGUUAUACAAUGCGAAAAUACGUACCAAUACAAAAAUUCUUUUUUACAUUUGCUCUUGUCCACCUUUCAAGUUAUAUAUGUUUUUAAUUUGUGGAACCAAAUUUAUAGAACAAAAAUAAUAUGUGAAUGAUACAUUAUUUCAUUA